rnacentral:rRNA from 1 species
UACGUAGGGUGCAAGCGUUGUCCGGAAUUAUUGGGCGUAAAGAGCUCGUAGGCGGUCUGUCACGUCGGCUGUGAAAACCCGAGGCUCAACCUCGGGCCUGCAGUCGAUACGGGCAAACUAGAGUACUGCAGGGGAGACUGGAAUUCCUGGUGUAGCGGUGAAAUGCGCAGAUAUCAGGAGGAACACCAGCGGCGAAGGCGGCGCUCUGGGCCGGUACUGACACUGAGGAGCGAAAGCGUGGGGAUCAAACAGG